AGUGAACGCUGGCGGUAGGCCUAACACAUGCAAGUCGAACGGCAGCACAGUAAGAGCUUGCUCUUACGGGUGGCGAGUGGCGGACGGGUGAGGAAUACAUCGGAAUCUACUUUUUCGUGGGGGAUAACGUAGGGAAACUUACGCUAAUACCGCAUACGACCUACGGGUGAAAGCAGGGGAUCUUCGGACCUUGCGCGAUUGAAUGAGCCGAUGUCGGAUUAGCUAGUUGGCGGGGUAAAGGCCCACCAAGGCGACGAUCCGUAGCUGGUCUGAGAGGAUGAGCAGCCACACUGGAACUGAGACACGGUCCAGACUCCUACGGGAGGCAGCAGUGGGGAAUAUUGGACAAUGGGAGCAAGCCUGAUCCAGCCAUACCGCGUGGGUGAAGAAGGCCUUCGGGUUGUAAAGCCCUUUUGUUGGGAAAGAAAAGCAGCAGGUUAAUACCCCGCUGUUCUGACGGUACCCAAAGAAUAAGCACCGGCUAACUUCGUG
rnacentral:rRNA from 1 species